rnacentral:rRNA from 1 species
CAGUCGCCGCGGUAAUACGAAGGGGGCUAGCGUUGCUCGGAAUGACUGGGCGUAAAGGGCGCGUAGGCGGCUUGCACAGUCAGAUGUGAAAUUCCUGGGCUCAACCUGGGGACUGCAUUUGAUACGUGUGGGCUUGAGUGGAGAAGAGGGUUGUGGAAUUUCCAGUGUAGAGGUGAAAUUCGUAGAUAUUGGAAAGAACACCGGUGGCGAAGGCGGCAACCUGGUCUUUAACUGACGCUGAGGCGCGAAAGCGUGGGGAGCAAACAGGAUUAGAUACCCCAGUAGUCCCUGUCUCUUAUAC